rnacentral:rRNA from 1 species
GGGUUGUGAGGUUAAGCGACUAAGCGUACACGGUGGAUGCCCUGGCAGUCAGAGGCGAUGAAGGACGUGCUAAUCUGCGAAAAGCGCCGGCGAGGUGAUAUGAACCUUUGACCCGGCGAUGUCCGAAUGGGGAAACCCAGUGUGUUCCGACACACUAUCGUUAACUGAAUACAUAGGUUAACGAGGCGAACCGGGGGAACUGAAACAUCUAAGUACCCCGAGGAAAAGAAAUCAACCGAGAUUCCCCCAGUAGCGGCGAGCGAACGGGGAGCAGCCCAGAGUCUGAAUCAGCUUGUGUGUUAGUGGAAGCGUCUGGAAAGUCGCACGGUACAGGGUGACAGUCCCGUACACGAAAGCACACAGGCUGUGAACUCGAAGAGUAGGGCGGGACACGUGGUAUCCUGUCUGAAUAUGGGGGGACCAUCCUCCAAGGCUAAAUACUCCUGACUGACCGAUAGUGAACCAGUACCGUGAGGGAAAGGCGAAAAGAACCCCGGCGAGGGGAGUGAAAAAGAACCUGAAACCGUGUACGUACAAGCAGUGGGAGCCUCUUUUAUGGGGUGACUGCGUACCUUUUGUAUAAUGGGUCAGCGACUUAUAUUCUGUAGCAAGGUUAACCGUAUAGGGGAGCCGAAGGGAAACCGAGUCUUAACUGGGCGUUAAGUUGCAGGGUAUAGACCCGAAACCCGGUGAUCUAGCCAUGGGCAGGUUGAAGGUUGGGUAACACUAACUGGAGGACCGAACCGACUAAUGUUGAAAAAUUAGCGGAUGACUUGUGGCUGGGGGUGAAAGGCCAAUCAAACCGGGAGAUAGCUGGUUCUCCCCGAAAGCUAUUUAGGUAGCGCCUCGUGAACUCAUCUUCGGGGGUAGAGCACUGUUUCGGCUAGGGGGCCAUCCCGGCUUACCAACCCGAUGCAAACUACGAAUACCGAAGAAUGUUAUCACGGGAGACACACGGCGGGUGCUAACGUCCGUCGUGAAGAGGGAAACAACCCAGACCGCCAGCUAAGGUCCCAAAGUCAUGGUUAAGUGGGAAACGAUGUGGGAAGGCACAGACAGCCAGGAUGUUGGCUUAGAAGCAGCCAUCAUUUAAAGAAAGCGUAAUAGCUCACUGGUCGAGUCGGCCUGCGCGGAAGAUGUAACGGGGCUAAACCAUGCACCGAAGCUGCGGCAGCGACACUAUGUGUUGUUGGGUAGGGGAGCGUUCUGUAAGCCGUUGAAGGUGUCCUGUGAGGGGUGCUGGAGGUAUCAGAAGUGCGAAUGCUGACAUAAGUAACGAUAAAGCGGGUGAAAAGCCCGCUCGCCGGAAGACCAAGGGUUCCUGUCCAACGUUAAUCGGGGCAGGGUGAGUCGACCCCUAAGGCGAGGCCGAAAGGCGUAGUCGAUGGGAAACAGGUUAAUAUUCCUGUACUUGGUGUUACUGCGAAGGGGGGACGGAGAAGGCUAUGUUAGCCGGGCGACGGUUGUCCCGGUUUAAGCAUGUAGGCGGAACGAUUAGGUAAAUCCGGUCGUUUAUUAACGCUGAGGUGUGAUGACGAGGCACUACGGUGCUGAAGUAACAAAUGCCCUGCUUCCAGGAAAAGCCUCUAAGCAUCAGGUAACAUCAAAUCGUACCCCAAACCGACACAGGUGGUCAGGUAGAGAAUACCAAGGCGCUUGAGAGAACUCGGGUGAAGGAACUAGGCAAAAUGGUGCCGUAACUUCGGGAGAAGGCACGCUGAUAUGUAGGUGAAGCCCCUGCGGGUGGAGCUGAAAUCAGUCGAAGAUACCAGCUGGCUGCAACUGUUUAUUAAAAACACAGCACUGUGCAAACACGAAAGUGGACGUAUACGGUGUGACGCCUGCCCGGUGCCGGAAGGUUAAUUGAUGGGGUUAGCGGUAACGCGAAGCUCUUGAUCGAAGCCCCGGUAAACGGCGGCCGUAACUAUAACGGUCCUAAGGUAGCGAAAUUCCUUGUCGGGUAAGUUCCGACCUGCACGAAUGGCGUAAUGAUGGCCAGGCUGUCUCCACCCGAGACUCAGUGAAAUUGAACUCGCUGUGAAGAUGCAGUGUACCCGCGGCAAGACGGAAAGACCCCGUGAACCUUUACUAUAGCUUGACACUGAACACUGGUCCUUGAUGUGUAGGAUAGGUGGGAGGCUUUGAAGCGUGGACGCCAGUCUGCGUGGAGCCAACCUUGAAAUACCACCCUUUAAUGGCUGGUGUUCUAACGUAGACCCGUAAUCCGGGUUGCGGACAGUGUCUGGUGGGUAGUUUGACUGGGGCGGUCUCCUCCCAAAGAGUAACGGAGGAGCACGAAGGUUAGCUAAUCCUGGUCGGACAUCAGGAGGUUAGUGCAAUGGCAUAAGCUAGCUUGACUGCGAGAGUGACGGCUCGAGCAGGUGCGAAAGCAGGUCAUAGUGAUCCGGUGGUUCUGAAUGGAAGGGCCAUCGCUCAACGGAUAAAAGGUACUCCGGGGAUAACAGGCUGAUACCGCCCAAGAGUUCAUAUCGACGGCGGUGUUUGGCACCUCGAUGUCGGCUCAUCACAUCCUGGGGCUGAAGUAGGUCCCAAGGGUAUGGCUGUUCGCCAUUUAAAGUGGUACGCGAGCUGGGUUUAGAACGUCGUGAGACAGUUCGGUCCCUAUCUGCCGUGGGCGCUGGAGAAUUGAGGGGGGCUGCUCCUAGUACGAGAGGACCGGAGUGGACGCAUCACUGGUGUUCGGGUUGUCAUGCCAAUGGCACUGCCCGGUAGCUAAAUGCGGAAGAGAUAAGUGCUGAAAGCAUCUAAGCACGAAACUUGCCCCGAGAUGAGUUCUCCCUGAGACUUUAAGUCUCCUGAAGGAACGUUGAAGACUACGACGUUGAUAGGUCGGGUGUGUAAGCGCAGCGAUGCGUUGAGCUAACCGAUACUAAUGAACCGUGAGGCUUAACCUUACAACGCCGAAG